rnacentral:rRNA from 1 species
UAGCCGUAAACGAUACUCGCUAGGUGUCGGCCACGGUGCGACCGUUGUCGGUGCCGUAGGGAAGCCGUGAAGCGAGCCACCUGGGAAGUACGGCCGCAAGGCUGAAACUUAAAGGAAUUGGCGGGGGGAGGCACAACAACGGGUGGAGCUUGCGGUUUAAUUGGAUUCAACGCCGGAAAUCUUACCGGGACCGACAGCAACAUGAAGGCCAGGCUGAAGACUUUGCCGGAUUAGCUGAGAGGUGGUGCAUGGCGUAGUCGUGU